CAUCGCAGUGUAGCAAUACAUGGGCGGCGACCGGCAAACGGGUGCGGAACACGUACGCAACCUUCCCAGAACAGGUGAAUAGCCUUUCGAAAGAGAGAUUAAUACACCGUAACUUAAUGAGGUGGCAUCAUCUUAUUAAUAUAGUUCCGACGGUUCUGGAUGGGCGUGCGGCUGAUUAGGUAGUUGGCGGGGUAAUAGCCCACCAAGCCUACGAUCAGUAACUGGUGUGAGAGCACGACCAGUCACACGGGCACUGAGACACGGGCCCGACUCCUACGGGAGGCAGCAGUAAGGAAUAUUGGUCAAUGGACGCAAGUCUGAACCAGCCAUGCCGCGUGGAGGAUGAAGGUCCUCUGGAUUGUAAACUUCUUUUAUCUGGGAAGAAACCGGACUUUUCUAAGGCCGUUGACGGUACCAGGUGAAUAAGCACCGGCUAACUCCGUGCCAGCAGCCGCGGUAAUACGGAGGGUGCAAGCGUUAUCCGGAUUCACUGGGUUUAAAGGGUGCGUAGGUGGGAUGGUAAGUCCGUGGUGAAAUCUCCAAGCUUAACUUGGAAACUGCCGUGGAUACUAUCAUUCUUGAAUCUCGUGGAGGUAAGCGGAAUAUGUCAUGUAGCGGUGAAAUGCUUAGAUAUGACAUAGAACACCGAUAGCGAAGGCAGCUUGCUACACGAGUAUUGACACCGAGGCACGAAAGCGUGGGGAUCAAACAGGAUUAGAUACCCUGGUAGUCCACGCCCUAAACGAUGGAUACUCGACAUACGCGAUACACAGUGUGUGUCUGAGCGAAAGCAUUAAGUAUCCCACCUGGGAAGUACGA
rnacentral:rRNA from 1 species